CCCAAUCCCCAUCCCGAUCCUAAUCCCGACCCCCAUCCCGCUCCCGGGACGGGCUGUAACGCCGGAGCAUCGCCCGGGGGCCGGGCGGCAGAUUGAAGUUACGAUGAGAAAAUCUACUUCAUGAUUUCAACGCUUUCAUUCAGUCUAGACAUCUACAUCACAUUCUCCCUCCCUCACAGAACGUGACAGCUGGACUUAAAAUGAACUGAAGCACUAUUUGCAGAGAGCACACCAUGCUGAGUUUGCUGCCCUUUGAGGAAAAAACCGCCAAGGACUGCAGAAGAAUGGCCCAGGGCCAAAAUAUGAAAGGUCACACCUUCCUUUUCCUGUACAAAUAAAGUUGGGGAAAUUAUGAGUCUAAUCUCUCAUCCUCCCUCACGCAUACCACACUGGCACCACUUUAUACAACAAUAGCCCGCUUACAAAUCCUGAUAAAUCUGAAAACCUCCUCGAUAUACUCAUGGGGAAGAAAACUAUUUAGACAUUUCUCCUUAUUACACCCCAGGAAUCGCUUGGCUAGUUGCUGCUUCGGGGGGUCACCUUCACCACUGUCAUUUCUACUUGCUGCUCUACCUCCUACUGCUCCAAGAGCUUGAUUCAAACCAGCUGUCUCAGAGGAGGAUGAGCAUUCUCAUUUUUGGCUAAAAUUAAAUACGGUGUAAAACAUCAGCUACUUUUAGUGCAUCUACUAAACACAGCUUAUGCACCUUCGGGGUUGGGGAUUUGGGAGGUUUUGACGUCUAAAACUAACGCUGUUUCUGUGAAGCAACUAUCUUCCUGUACACUACGGGGUCCUGCGUUAAGACCUAACAUCUACUGGCAAAAGAAGGCAGCAGCCGCAAGCUGGAACUAAGCGCAGCCUGGAUGAGAGGGUAAAUUCCGCGCUGAACAGGGAGAACACCAGCAGCUGACCACCCAGCCAGCCCAAACUCCAGGAUCGUUCUCCCGGGCAGUGGAGGAGAAGGAGGCCGAGGUUACCUGCGAGCCGGUGCCCCGAGCAGCAGGCGCG